UUUUUUUUUUUUUUUUUUUUUUUUUUUACUUCAUAAGAAUUCCAUCAAUAAGACUUGGCUUUAGGAAACCAGACACAGAUCUAUGAGAGAUCUCAGAAUUGACACUGAGAGUAUUUAUUGCUCUAAUCGCCUUGGUUCAAACUAAAGCACAAUGCUCAGGGAGGAGACGAAGUGUAUGAAAACAAGGAGGAGAGGAAUCACAAAUGAUGUGCCCCCCGCCCCCUAAAGGAAACACUAUGGCCUUUGCUAAAGGUUCAUUAUCAGCUGGUGCCUGGACUUGAAGGCAAAGCAAAUAACAACAUUCCAAAAUAGGCCUAAUUUGUACAGAAUGAUGCCAAAUGGCCAAAUGGAACAUGCUCUUCUGUGCAUUCGGCCCCUUCUGCAACCAACAGGUUCUGAGCUAGAAACUGACACCCAAAGAUGAAGGAAGCUAGCUAGCUCCAGGCCUGGAGGAAUGCACAAGCUGGAAUAAGUGGUUACAGCACAGAACCUGGGCCAAAUUUAUUUUCACUUUGUUAUAACCAAUAAAAUGUGCAAAGAUUUAAAGCCACGUGGCAUCUGGGGGCCUACCACGCCCAAUCUCACAAAGGCUCUUAUGAAAAAUGCAUGGGUGAAGUCGUUCGAUAAUGAUUGAUCCAGUCUGAACCCAUGAUAUCUGGUAACUUGGAGGAAAGGGUGAGGACUAAACCUAAACCAGCCCCGGCCUCCAUUCGCUGUGGUUUAUUUCUGAAAAGAUUCCAUAGUGUAACAGUGCUUGUUCCCCACAAAUAAUACAGUUUCACUCUUCCUUGGAGACUCUACCUAGGGAGGAAGAUUAGAUGCAUAAGCCAUUAGUACUAAUUAUUGGUAAUGUCUCAGGGCUUUAGGACAAUUACUACUAAAGUUACUGCCUGGAAACAGAAUAAUCACACUAAUUGGAGUUCAUCCUAUAUUCAUCUUCAUAGUAAGCACAACCCUGAGGUGAAAUUUGGUGUCCAUAAAUGGAAGCCAUUUCAGCUGCCAAAAGUGAUUUUCCAAAGAUGCAGGCCCCCCAUGAAUAGAAUGAAGAACAAACAACCUUGCACCCUGUGAAGCGUGGCGAGCGUGGUAUGCACCAAAACCGUCUUACAAGAACACUGAGAAGGGGCAAAAAACCAAUAUGUUCCCGCCUUCUAUCCUUUUCAUCCAGAGGAGUGGAGACAGCAAAUAAUCACAUCCGCUUUGACAAAUGCAAGAACAAAAAUGCCAAGUGCUACACAAGGUGAGGACAGGCAGGAAAGGCAUCUCUGAGAAAGUGGCAUUUAACUGAAGGGUUCUUGGCCAGUGGGAGAAAGAAUAUUCCAGGCAGAGGGAACAGUAGGCAAGAGCCUGCAUGCAGCAGCCUUGAGAGAACGAGGGUGGACAAGAGAGAAGGAUGAGGGAGUUUGAAGAGGAAACUAGAAGAUACAUGUGCAGGAAUUUACAGAUUGGCAAGGAUUUUUAUAUUUUAUUCUAAGUGGACCAGAAAGUCAUGAUAUAAAGUCUUAGGUAGAGGGAUGUAGCAGGGUAUUAAGGCAGUAAUCAAAGAGAGGAAUAGAAGCCUUAGAAGCUUCUGUGAGGUUCAUGGCUUAGAGCAGAGGGUACUGAACAUACAGAGAGACAAUGACAAGGGAGGCUUACGGAGCUGGGUCACCAGGAAGAGCCCAGUUUUAGGGAAUCAGAGGAAAAAGGAUUGACCAAGAAUAAGCAUGAAAUGAGGACCAUGGACAUCAGCUUGAAAAUAGACAUUGCGUAAAUUAAAGAGCUAAAAUUAAAAAUCCUAUUACUUGCAGCACAUUUUAUGCAGAAAGUAAUUGACCACGUAUAAGCUUUUAUAAAAGACACUAAAUAGUACCAACUUUCAAUUAUUUCAGGGUCCGUGGUUUAUCUGGUGUAGUAAAAUUGAAUUGUUAUAUUCAAUUUCGUGGUGGAUUAAUGAGGUAAUAUUUUCAUUGCCAUAGUUAACACAACAUGACGUGACCUGAAAUUUGAAAUACAAGGAGGCAAUGGGUGAGUCACUCCAGAGGACACCCUCCAACCCUGCUUUUUCAGAAAGUCUCUCAAAAGUGUUAAGCACAGGCAUAUGCCCACAUCCGCAUUUGUUGAGAAUGCCCCUCAAAAAAUCCCAUAAGUAUCAGCACUUGUUUCGUUAUUUGGAAAGACCCAAAAUUUAUUAGCCUUGAUUUCUGAAGUCAUCAAGACUUGACACAAUUCCUCACACUUCUCACCGUCCACUCCCUAGUGUCCCAACUGCAUGCUAAGUAAACCUUUCAUCAAAACUCUAACCGCUUCUCACACACUUGCCUUUGCUAAAACCCGUCUUCCAACACCUCCAGCCAUGGAAACCUGCUCCAUGGUGAGACUGCGUGUGGUGAAUCCCUACCAGGAAGCCGUGAUGCUAGAGGAGGAUUUUAAAUCAGCCUACACAUCUUUUCCACUCUUUCCUUUACAAUAAGUUCUCUCUGCCAUUGUCACGAUUGGUAGGACAUUUUAAAAAAAUUUUUUUAAAGAUUUUAUUCAUUUAUUCCUGAGAGACACAGAGACCCAGGCAGAGGGAGAAGCAGGCUCCAUGCAGGGAGCCCGAUGUAGGACUCAAUCCCAGGACCCGGGGUCACGCCCUGAGCCGAAGGCAGAUGCUCAACCACUGAGCCACCCAGGGGCCCUUGGUAAGACAUUUUUAAAGAGGGCUUACCUCCAAAUAACUCCAUUUUCAUUUACUCAAACUAGCUAGUUCUUUACACUGUACUAAGUAAAUCUUUCUCUCACGUCCUUUGUUCGCGCUCUUGUAAUAUUUGGGUAUGUGCAUGUCCUUGCACAUGGGAAAGCCUAUGGGCAGGGGCAGAGAAUCUUAACAGGAUGCCAGAGUACAACCCAGGUUUCACCACACACUACUACUUGCCGGUUGGUGGCAACUGCCCAGGGCGCGGUGUCGAGAAUUCCAAGGCCUCUUGCAGGUACCAACGUCCACCAUGACCACAAGGGAGCAAACAGUACCUGCCUACACCCUUUGCCAUCCCCAGUCCAAUGAAGCCACAAAAACAUGACUUUGAACCUUACGCCAGGCUUGACAUUUUCUAAGGACAUGAAUCUUGGGGGGAAAUUAACUUCCCUGCAUCUCAUGUCACAUGGAGGCACUUGGGUUUGUCCCGCAUGGAUUGGUGAGGACCAAACCAGGGGCUCAAGCACCAUCGAUUCUCUCCACCUUCUUCUGAGGGGCAGGGGCGAGUGAAGCAGCUUUUCACACGGGACUUUGGAAUGUUCCUCACCAUAGACCACCUUUCCUAGUAUGAAUGAGCAUGAGUUGUUACAGGUUGAGCUGUGUUCCCACAAAAUUCAUACAUUGAAGCCCUAACCUCCUAACAGUAUCUCAAAAUGUGACUCUAUUUGGAGACUGGGCCUCCAAGAGGGUGAUUCAGGUAACAUGAGGCCAUGAGGAGGGGGACCUUAAUCCAGCAGGACUGCUGUGUUUACAGAAAUCAGGAAGAGACACCAGGGGUGGGUGUGUGUGCACCAGAUGCAAGAGGUCCCAGCAAGAAGGCGGCCACCGCAAGCCAAGGAGAGACAGAAGAAACCAAGAGUGCCAACACCUUGAUCUUGCACCUCUAGGCCCGUACGUGAUGCGAAAACCAAUUUCUGUUGUCUCAGCCACGCAGAGGGUGGUGCAGUGGGAGCCCCAGGAGACCAAGACAGGAGCGCCCCGUCCCUCCCUCCUCACACUCAGACACCAGGACAAAGGAGCAGGGGGCAUACUAACAAUGGGUCACUGAGGGCUGACCCAGAACAAUGCGGUUCUGCUGGCUUUUUCUACUUACCAGAAAUCCUGCCCACACAAGGGGAAUCCAGACAUGCCCAGAACAGAAAGGAAUGGUGUUCCCCUCUCUCCGGCCAGAAACCCAGCUGCAAAAUUACCGAACAAGAACCUCCAAGCACGGCCCGUUCCAAUCCUUUUCAGAAGUGUUUCACAAACCUCUGUUUAACAAGUAACGCCACUGCUCACAGGUGCCCCCUCCCCCGGCCCCCUGAGGACCAGACCGCUUAAUUAGGCAGGGCGAUGGUUCAAUACGUUCUCAGAAUCAGGUUUAAAUGGGAAUGCCAAUUAAACCGCACACUCACCACCGUGCAUUUUAAUCCUCUAAAACAGUUGUGUAAGCAGUGAGAUGAUUUCUCUGCCCGGCAAACUAUGCAAACAAUUGCCAACACGCCAGGGCCUGCUGGGUUGGUCGUGCUCUGCGCUGCUGCUACUAACAACUGUCUCAAUGCCCCAAGGGUCUGGGUUGCCUUGGCUUGGGCUUUGCAGAACCCUCCCCCCACUCCCCAUGUUACACCCUCUUCCAAUAGGAAUCCAGCCCAACGCAAAACUGGCUUCAGUUUUUUUUUCACUCCUCUUAGAAACAGCAGUGACAUUUUUCGCAAUAUUACAUCAUCCUGGACUUCCUUGCCUUUUAUCGGAGAUUCUUGGCUACCUCACUAUAGAAAGGAGUGACAAAAGGUCCUCCUUUGGUCCUAUGCCCAGCCAAUGGGCAUCGAUUCUGAAGCGAGAACUGCAAGCAGUGGCUCUUGGCUUGAAGAAGAGCAGUUAAAGGGGGAAUGGGAGUACACCUGUCCCAGGGGGCCAACUGCUCCCUGUAAGCAGCACCUGCUAACGUCAUGGUGCUUGCUGCUGGAAGCAAGGCCUUGGUCAAAGACUGUGUUACCGUGGGCAGCACUCAGGUUCAAAGUGCGACAGAGUGGCCUUCUGUAAGCAGGACGGGCUAAUUAACACUGUUGUUUCGGUGGUGGUGGUGGUGGGAGGGGGUGAUGCGAAGCCGAUGGACAUUUAGAGUCACUUUUAGAAAAAUUCACAUUUUGGGGCCCCUGGGGGGCUC
rnacentral:lncRNA from 1 species